UACAGAGGGGGCAAGCGUUAUUCGGAAUCAUUGGGCGUAAAGGGCGCGUAGGCGGCUUUGCAAGUGACGGGUGAAAGCCCUCGGCUUAACCGAGGAACUGCCUGUCAGACUGUGAGGCUUGAGACCAGGAGAGGUGAGUGGAAUUCCCAGUGUAGCGGUGAAAUGCGUAGAUAUUGGGAGGAACACCAGUGGCGAAGGCGGCUCACUGGACUGGUACUGACGCUGAGGCGCGAAAGCAUGGGGAGCAAACAGG
rnacentral:rRNA from 1 species